rfam:Aedes albopictus isolate Foshan contig60826, whole genome shotgun sequence.
UGCCCAGCAACUCAUAUCCCUACCUCCACGCGGUACCGGCCGGAAACUAUGAGCAACCUUAGGGAAGAUCGGGUAACCAACCCCGGUGGAAACUUUGGUCGUAGGCUAACAGGGAAGG